UGGCCGAAUUUUUGGUGUCAUUUUUCUUUUCUCUUUUAUGCUUGGUUUUUGAGUGGAACUUGUCACCAACAAGCUUAGAGAUCCAUACCGGGCUGUGGUUCGCGGGACUUGGUGAACCCAACUCUGUAGCUCGGAGCCAGGAGAAGAUCAAGUUUAG